GGGCGAUACCGCUUCCCUCAGUUCGCCGCCGCUGUCGGUCAUUCACGAGUGUGUGUGUGUGUGUGUCGUGUGUGCGUGCGUGCGUGCGUGUGCGCGCG
rnacentral:lncRNA from 1 species